rnacentral:rRNA from 1 species
UACAGAGGGGGCAAGCGUUAUUCGGAAUUAUUGGGCGUAAAGGGCGCGUAGGCGGCCAUUCAAGUCAGGGGUGAAAGCCUGUGGCUCAACCACAGAAUUGCCUUUGAUACUGUUUGGCUAGAGACCGGAAGAGGUAAGUGGAACUGCGAGUGUAGAGGUGAAAUUCGUAGAUAUUCGCAAGAACACCAGUGGCGAAGGCGGCUUACUGGUCCGGUUCUGACGCUGAGGAGCGAAAGCGUGGGGAGCAAACAGG